ACAGGUGAGGUAACGUAGGACCAGAGAAGUGAAGUGACUGGCCCGAAGUCACACAGCCGACGAGCGGCGGAGCCGGGAUUCGAACCCACGACCGCCGACUCCCAAACCCGGGCUCUUUCCGCCGGGCCACGCCGCUCCCGCAUUUGAGCCUACGCUGUUUCAUCGUCGUUGACGAAGGGAACGUCGUCGUUUGGCAAGCGGCGUAAUAAGACGCACACCCUGUGCCGUCGCUGUGGGUCGAAGGCCUACCACCUCCAGAAGUCGACCUGCGGCAAGUGUGGCUACCCUGCCAAACGCAAGAGAAAGUAUAACUGGAGCGCUAAGGCCAAAAGACGCAACACCACUGGCACUGGCCGGAUGAGACACCUGAAAAUCGUCUACCGCCGAUUCAGGAAUGGAUUCCGCGAGGGAACGACUCCGAAACCCAAACGAGCGGCCGUGGCGGCAUCCAGUUCGUCGUAAAGACGCGGCCGUUGGUUAAAAUAAACGAUCCCGUUUGGAAA